AACGGUCUAUACCUGCGGUACCUGCGGAAGGAUCAUUAAAGAGUUUGAUCUUCGGAUCAUCUCCCACCCUUUGUGAACUUUUUCCUGUGCUUUGGCAUUCCAUCGAUUUUUAUCGACCUCGGUUUAAUUUUAUUUUUCGAUUAUUAAACUAAUCAGAAAUAAAAAAACUCUGGAGAUGUCUGCCAAAAAAUUUUUAAACUCGAUUAAAAUUAAUUCUGAGAAAUCAUAAAAAACCAAAAC
rnacentral:misc_RNA from 1 species